AUCAACUUUAAUUUGGAGUCUCAAUCAAUCAAUAUUGUUUGAUGAUUUAUAAUUAUCAUAGUCGACUCUGAUUCGCUUGAUGGAUACAUUU